UGCAAGUCGAGCGAACAGAUGAGAAGCUUGCUUCUCUGAUGUUAGCGGCGGACGGGUGAGUAACACGUGGGUAACCUACCUAUAAGACUGGGAUAACUCCGGGAAACCGGGGCUAAUACCGGAUAAUAUUUUGAACCGCAUGGUUCAAUAGUGAAAGACGGUUUCGGCUGUCACUUAUAGAUGGACCCGCGCCGUAUUAGCUAGUUGGUAAGGUAACGGCUUACCAAGGCGACGAUACGUAGCCGACCUGAGAGGGUGAUCGGCCACACUGGAACUGAGACACGGUCCAGACUCCUACGGGAGGCAGCAGUAGGGAAUCUUCCGCAAUGGGCGAAAGCCUGACGGAGCAACGCCGCGUGAGUGAUGAAGGUCUUCGGAUCGUAAAACUCUGUUGUUAGGGAAGAACAAAUUUGUUAGUAACUGAACAAGUCUUGACGGUACCUAACCAGAAAGCCACGGCUAACUACGUGCCAGCAGCCGCGGUAAUACGUAGGUGGCAAGCGUUAUCCGGAAUUAUUGGGCGUAAAGCGCGCGUAGGCGGUUUCUUAAGUCUGAUGUGAAAGCCCACGGCUCAACCGUGGAGGGUCAUUGGAAACUGGGAAACUUGAGUGCAGAAGAGGAGAGUGGAAUUCCAUGUGUAGCGGUGAAAUGCGCAGAGAUAUGGAGGAACACCAGUGGCGAAGGCGGCUCUCUGGUCUGUAACUGACGCUGAUGUGCGAAAGCGUGGGGAUCAAACAGGAUUAGAUACCCUGGUAGUCCACGCCGUAAACGAUGAGUGCUAAGUGUUAGGGGGUUUCCGCCCCUUAGUGCUGCAGCUAACGCAUUAAGCACUCCGCCUGGGGAGUACGACCGCAAGGUUGAAACUCAAAGGAAUUGACGGGGACCCGCACAAGCGGUGGAGCAUGUGGUUUAAUUCGAAGCAACGCGAAGAACCUUACCAAAUCUUGACAUCCUUUGACCGCUCUAGAGAUAGAGUCUUCCCCUUCGGGGGACAAAGUGACAGGUGGUGCAUGGUUGUCGUCAGCUCGUGUCGUGAGAUGUUGGGUUAAGUCCCGCAACGAGCGCAACCCUUAAGCUUAGUUGCCAUCAUUAAGUUGGGCACUCUAGGUUGACUGCCGGUGACAAACCGGAGGAAGGUGGGGAUGACGUCAAAUCAUCAUGCCCCUUAUGAUUUGGGCUACACACGUGCUACAAUGGAUAAUACAAAGGGCAGCGAAUCCGCGAGGCCAAGCAAAUCCCAUAAAAUUAUUCUCAGUUCGGAUUGUAGUCUGCAACUCGACUACAUGAAGCUGGAAUCGCUAGUAAUCGUAGAUCAGCAUGCUACGGUGAAUACGUUCCCGGGUCUUGUACACACCGCCCGUCACACCACGAGAGUUUGUAACACCCGAAGCCGGUGGAGUAACCUUUUAGGAGCUAGCC
rnacentral:rRNA from 1 species